rnacentral:rRNA from 1 species
UCCGUAGGUGGAUAAUUAAGUCAGAGGUGAAAUCCUGCAGCUCAACUGUAGAAUUGCCUUUGAUACUGGUUAUCUUGAGUUAUUAUGAAGUAGUUAGAAUAUGUAGUGUAGCGGUGAAAUGCAUAGAUAUUACAUAGAAUACCGAUUGCGAAGGCAGAUCACUAAUAAUGUACUGACACUGAGGGACGAAAGCGUGGGGAGCGAACAGGAUUAGAUACCCUGGUAGUC